UUAAAGCAAUCAUGAUGUAUAUGCAGGAAGGAAUUUGUGAAAAUUUGGAUUUCAUUUUCUACUGUUGAACUUUAUUAGAUAUUGAGAUGGGUGUUAGUUUUUUGGAAAAACAGUUUGAACGUGAAACAUAGGAUAACAGCAGUCAAAAAAUCUUGCCAGUCCAGCCCAUUAGCCUUGGUGGCACUGGCCAGUUUUUAUUAUAAACGGAGACGGGAGAUUCGAUCUUGUGCCUCUUCCAACAUUGUGAAAAGAUGCAAGAGCUAGUACUGUGCUGUAUUUUCUGUUCUCAUGUCAUCUAGACUUGUAUUUA